GGUCAAGCUAAUAAGGGCUAACGGUA
rnacentral:rRNA from 1 species